UGCCUGUGAUGAGAUUCUUUAAAUGAAAUUGUAUUAGCAAGACUCGGCUGAUGUUCCGCUCGUCCUUGAAAUCUUGGUGGUUGGCGGCUGAAAACCAAUCACUGUAAAGGCAAGGAUACAUCAUAUUAUUCCAACAUUGUCGAAUAUUGGGAAGUUUUAAGUAUUCGCUACCAGUGUUGCUGAAUAGAUAUUUCACCUAAUACGUCGGAAAGUAGCGAAGACAUCAGUUAGCUGUUACAUAAUAUGAUUCUUCUUUAGUAAUCUGAGGCAA
rnacentral:snoRNA from 1 species